rnacentral:ncRNA from 1 species
UUAAAACCUGUGAAGAGGAGCAGUAACUAUAUGAAGUUUUAAGAGAGUUAACGGCUGGUGUAAGUUAAUAACCUUAUAUUGUGAAUCCACCUCUGAGGGACUGUGGUAAAAACAGUACGGAUAACCGUUAUAAUUAAGAGAGGAUCAUUUUAUGAUCAAUUAGGGUGGCAACGCGGAGCUUUUCGUCCCUUUU